ACAUAUACUGUGGCUAAUUUUUGCUAGUGAAUCAUGGUUGCUGAACUAUAUAGGAAGUGCCAGGAAGCUGUGUGACUUCAGAUAAAGACAAAUUAGAGAAUUGUGGUGAUUUCAUGUGCAGGGUACUUUUUGGAUGUUAAAUACUGUUCAAUUUAGAGCUUCAGCAGAGAUAAAAUUAUCUCUUUUCUUCCCUUGUUGGUCUCCAGUGUUAAACUCAUGUGGCUUAUGGAGAUUAGAAAGCUCCAGUCAAAGCUAAGACGUGUUCUAAAGACCUGUUCCUCCAUUUAGCUUUUGACUGAUUUAUGUGGUUUUACUGUUAAUUAUUUUCUGAUUAAACAUAUUCUUGAUACUUUGGAGUGAUUUUAAAUUGCAUGGUUUGGGAAAAACUUGUAUUUGAAACUUUUCAAUACUUGUUUUAUAUCUUGAAAGUUUGUUUCCUCGAGAAUGACAAUGGUAUUUUGUUUACAUGAUUCCUUUGUAAGUACUGUGGCCUUUUGGUGAUACUGUGCUUACCCAUUAGAUACGAACAGGGUUGCAUUUCUCACAUGUCAGCCAUGCAGGAAUGAGAAUUAUCUGUAAAUGGGAGCAUGAGAUACUUCUGUAGGGCGUUUUUAUCUGAGGCUCUAGGACAUUAUGUAGUCAUGAAAAUAAAUACAUAUAUAGAUGUGAAUGGCCUUUGCUUUCUCUGAUGGGAACAGAGAAUGUAACCUUGGUAAGAUUUGACCACAAGCUUGUAGUAACCUAGGAGUUUGGGUUUGUAUACUCUUAAUCUCUUGGGCAGCAUUGUCUGAAAAGCAGCACAUAGGUAAUGCCAAAAGUGUGAAGACAAACUUGUUCCUGAAAGUCAAAUGCUUUUUCAUUUCUUUAAGUAGUGACUAGGAAAGAGACAAGUAAAACAAUAAUUCUGUAGUUUAAUUUUUCCCCAACAAUUGCUGGAUUUUUUUUGGUUAUUUUUUCAGGGUUUUUUGUUUGUUUGGGUUUUUUGUUUUUGUUUUUUUCCUGAAUUGACUAUGUUAAUUUCUCUAACUUAAUUUUGUGUAUUUUUAAGUAUCUGUGAAGAUUUUAUAUGUCUAUAAAGAUCCUGUAUGACCUUUAUCUUAUAGUCCUGACAUAUUCUUUGUUGUCUAGAGAGCAACAAAGGAUAUGUCAGGACAGACCUACAUCUUAUGUAGUGUUUGUGUUGAUUCAGAAGAGGGUUUGUACAUAAUACAUCAUUCCUCCUGUUGUACUCUUGCAGUCUGUGAAUUUUGGAGGAAGGGUUUAGACACUAACAGGGUGUUUGGUAUUGAACAGGAUGCAUAUGGCAGGAUAGUAUCUAAUCUGGCUUUGUUGGAAAGAAGGCUCUUACAUGAAGGCCUGAAAAAAGGUGUUGAUUUUAACAUGCUUUGUUUCUGAUAAGUUUUUAAAUUUCCCCCUGCCCCCAACAAAGAACAGUCAUGAAAUUCACAUUUCAGUGUCCUUGUAACUGAAAUUGUGCAUAGUACUCUCAGGAAACUCACAUAAUAAACUAACACUUGUUAAAAUUAGGAAAACAGCCUUUGUAUUAGUAUUGGUUUUUCUCAAAAUUAGUGUGGCUGUGUUUCUUGUCUCUUCCAAAUUAUGGUAAUUCCUAAGGCUUUCAUUUAAUUCUGAGGGUGAGAGUUUCUCCCACUAAGGAGUUCUUGUUUGGAGCUUUUGCUUAAGUCAGCCAACCCUAGUCCUAGAUAAUGCAGUGGCGUUCUGUGGCAUUGAGGCAAUUUCCUGGUAAGAUUAGCUUACCUAAUGAGGGAUAGAUUUAUUACACCUCUUCCAUCAGUGGCCACUCUCUUCUCUCCUGGAUCAACCACUGCUAGAAAAAUCCUCAGCAAGAAGCGGGCGAAUGUUUACGUAAAUGGAUUCACAAGAUUGGUGGGGAAAUGGAGUGUGACAACAGGAACGUGUGCGUAAGAAGUUUUAAAGAUCUGUCUUGAAUAAUGGAAGUGUAUUACAAGCUUCUGGAUAAGGAAAACAGCUACUUGAUGAUGAGGCCAGUUUGUUUAGUUGUAAUAUUUCGAUACUUCAGAUGUUGUUGGUGUCUGCUCUUGUUUGGCUUAGUGAAGUGGUUGUGUGUUGGGCAAACUAUUUGAGACUUCAGAGGCUGAAAUUGCAUCUCCUGUCUGCUGAGAGCUAGAAUGAGGAAAUGAGGAAAAUUACUUAGCUGAGGAAAGACUUAACUUCUCAAAUCUUCUUGGUCCUGAUGUUCAUCUCCAGAAGCCCUGCUGGAAACAUGGAAGAUGGAAAUAGUUGUCCCAGUCAACUCCUCAAAUUUUCCAGUCACUGAAGAAAUACGAUAAUCAUGACCUAAGCUGGGUAAAUAAAUUAUCCUGGUAGAGCUUACACAGCCUGUACUCCAUAGACCAAAAUUUCUUCAAGACUGCAGGUCACGAGGCUGUGCUUAUUUACUGCUUGGGUAUUAAUGGGGGUCCACUCAAGAAGCAGGAGGAUCUGAAGCCAUUGCUGACCCAGGACAUAUAAUAAUAUGUCUGUAUUCCAUGUUGGUGGGCACAUGCCAAGCAACUCCCUUGAUACUAAAGAUGAGAAAACAUUCUUAGUGUUUUGGAGAGAGAACUGAGGGGGACAUUACAACUUUACUCUUCUGGGAGAAGAAUAGUUUAAGCAGGGAGAGACUGUUUCUUCAGAACAAAAAAUAACUGAAGCAAGAAUAACAUGAACAGGGAUGUGAAUAUUGUAUUAACCAGAAAAAAAUCAAACAUGCCUGUCAAACUGAAAAUAAAGGAAGAGUAAAAAAACCAAUGCAAGUGGUGACUGCAGAGCAAGGAGAAAGUGAAAGUGAAAAUCAAGCUGAAAAGAUAUUCCAAAACAGCAGUAGACCCAGAAUAAAAUGCAAAAAUAAGACCAAAACCUAACUGCUCUAUUUGACAUCUCAUUGGACUACUGAACCUAUUUAAAGAACGGAUAUUACUGGUAUUGAUUGUGGUGGUUUCACAUUUCACAUUGACUGACAUUUGGGGAAGUAAACCACUACACUGAUCCAGUCAUUCAAAAAGCAGCCAUACACAGUGGGGUGAAAUUCUACAUUCAGUUUCCAAGUGCAUUUCACAGGCCAGCCCUGUGCUAGUUUGUGUGUGUUCAUUCUGCUGACAGUGAAGCUGACGUGCAGAUCUGUACCAAGCUCUUAGUAGCAGGAGCUCCCUCUUUAGGGUUUCUUCUCCAAGAGUUACUUGGUCUUUUUUGCUUCCUUGACUCUUUCAGCAUCUGAAUAAUUUGUUUUCUUUAUAUUUAUUUGUAGAUUCCAAAAGCUUGCUGUUUCCUUCCCAUUAUCUACUUCUACCUAAUCUCCCUAUGUAGCUAUUUUUUUUUUUGUUCCCCUGAAGCCUUUUUGUUAUUUGUGUCAUUAUCUAAUUAUCCCUUAUAGAGAUCUUGUGAAUUCUUUUGCUGUUGGUCAGUGUUCAGUCAGGAUAUGGACUAAAUAGGUUUUGUUGUUACCUGGCUUUGUAACAGACUGGCCACUGAAGGAAUGAGUCAUCAAUAUUAUUUUUUUUUUUCCUUUUUUUUUAAUGGACAGGCAAGAGUGCUAGAAACAUACUUUCUUUUGGACACAGACUAGAAUUUAGUAACACUUAAGUGUUUCUAAACAGCCAUAUGAGGGACUCAUGCAACUGGGGGAAAUCUCAGGAGUCUUGGGUGUGCUGCUGGCCUCUAUAUAGAAGUUCUGUGUUUAAAUAACAAAUUUUCAAAUAUAAUUUCAUUUUCUUUUUAAUUUUAUUUGGUUUUGUCACAAAUUCCUUUUUACAGCUUCUAGCAGGUAGCUGGGCAGAAGUGCGUGUAUAGUACGCAUACAGAGGUGCAAUGAGCCAGAGAGAAACCCUAAAUUUCAGACUUUUUUUUUCCUGAUGUUUUGCAUGGGUGGAUAAGUGUUUUGGCCACUUAGGGUCAUGUAGAGUCUAACAGUGCAUUGCCAGAAUUAAUGAAUAUUAGCACUUGGCCAAAUGGCUGCUUCUGUUAAUGAAUUCUAUUUCCUUAUGGUUUUGCUCUACUUAAAACCUUUGUUUACUGUUCUGGGUAGCUUUGGUUUGUUACAAGGCACAACACUGUUGUUUGCACUGUCUUGGUAUAUCUUGAAUGUUAGUAAUCAUCCCAUUUUAAUCUUCUUUCCAUGAGUAUACUGAAAAAAAUUAAGAUUGUUCAGCAUAGGGUAUUCUAUUGGAUAGCAUCUUUGGGGUUUGAUAUGUUUGUUCUGUUGACCUGCUGAAAAAAAAAUCUUAAAGUCUAUUAGAUAUCAAGGCAGGUAUGCAAACCUAGGAGCAGGUGGUUCUAAACUGUCAGAAGUUUGGUUCAGAUGAACAAGAGGGGUUUUUCCUUGCAUAUUUAGAGAACAAAAGAAGAGCUGUUUUGAAGUCAGCACUGUAAAUGAGCACAGAAAUAAUUUAGUUCUCUGUCAUGGAUAAAACUUGACUUCUGUGGUCUAAUUUGCUUUGCAUCCAACUGGUUCUGAAAAAGGAGCAAUUCUUUUAGCUAAAAAUUAGUGUCAUUUUGAAUCAAAUGCAAAACUUCUCUCAUUUUCUGGGGAAAAGUUGGGUUUUUGAGCUGCUUUAGCAGAUUAGGGACAUAUUAAAUUCAAUUUAGGAAAAAACAGUGCUGAUCCCUUCAUUCUUUCUUUGAAACCACAACUCCUAGACUAUUUUUCUUCCCUCUUUACAGGAUUUAAGUUGAAAUGCUUUAGGGAUGUCAGCUGCUGAACUGCUUUUAAUGGGAAGAAAGGGGACAGAGAGUAUAUCUGUGUAUUCUUAGAAGGAACACGUCCCUUUGUCAGCUCUUUCAGGAGUGACAAAUGUCAGAGCUGCAGUUUGUGGUUGGUGUUUUCAUUCCCGUUUUAAAUAAAUUUAAAAUUCAGUAUUGGCUUUUAGUACAUGAGGAAUGACCUUUCAUUGAAGCAGUAAAAUGCCUUCUAAUUUCAUCCUGUCUUUUUCAAGAACCAGUUACAAGGACUCUUUUUCCUUGCUAUUGUUUUCAUUUUCUAAUGAAAGAUUUUUCUAGUUGUGAGGUUUUUUGCAUUUUGCAUUGUUCAAGUAUAGAACUUUUAUUUUUCUUCUCCUUUCUUCCCCCCUUCCCUCCAACUUGGAAUUUCAAGAUUGCAAUGAGUUCUUGAAUCAAGACAAUUGGAAUUUUGGUUUUGAAUGGAGGGUGGAGCUGAGGGAAGAACAUUCCUGGCUCUAUAGUAUGCAUCAUCACCACUUUAAAAAUAGAACUUUUGAUUUCUAUGUGGAAUCGGUGGCAUGUGGAAGUGUAACGUUUUGUAUCUAGGUAGCAAGUUCCUGGGAAGUGUAAAGAGUUCCCCCGGUACUGGUGCAGCUCCCCGGGUGUGUAUAUUCUGAGUAGUGAUAAAAUGACCCUCCACUGGCUUUUAACCAGAAUCCUGCAUGUGAUUCAAAGACUGAACAGAGUUAUGUGAGCUUCAUCGUCAUCAUGCAGUGGGAAUUCUUUCCGAAGCAAGAAAUGGGAUGUUCCUGAAGUCAGCUUUAAAUAUGGAAAUUUUUGUGCUGGAGCUACAAAACUGCCCAGAGUUCUGGGUUGGCUGUUAUAAGACAUGGAGAAAGGAGUGCACAGCUGUAAGCUGCACAUUAGUGAGUUAUGCCAUUAAUGAAAGAUCUGAACAGAACCUUUUGCUACCUGUUAUCCCUGUGAUUAACAACUGAGUAAGCAAAUCACAGUGUGGUUGUGAUAGUCAAACCAGAGUAAAAGGUUGUACUGAAACUAAAUAUAUAGAGGAUGCUUUUCUUUUUUCCUUUUUUUUUGGUGUCAAGAGUGACAGUCUACAAUAAAAAGUACUCAUGAUAAUCAUUUAGUUGAGCAGUAUCUAUUUCUACUGACAACCUUAAAUUUAAAUAAGAAACUCCUGGAAGUUUCUUUAACCGUGUAAUAAGUAUUUGUUGAAGCAUUAAAUCAUCUUUUGAAAAGAAUAUUUUUUUUUCUCCAUCUACUUUGAGAACACUCUGUUUAUUCUUUUUAUACAGCAAGUGAUACCCUAUAGGUUGAGAAAGAGAGAAUAGGGAAAGAGAAUCCUCCAGCAGCUUUUUGCCCUUAUCCAGUCUGUGAACUAAGAUCAACUUGCAGGGGGGCACAGACAAGGCUGCACUUGUUCUAAAACAGUAAAAAUGUGGUAGACACAAAAUGAUUAUUCAUUGACUGCUUUGUCUCAUAACCCUUCUUAUGGCUCCAGUUUACUUUAAAAUACAGCUUCUGGGAAUUAACUUUAGGGGUGUGUGUGGAAACUGUUUUAAACAGUUUCCAGUGUACACAGUAAGAUUGUCAUCAUCACACUGCAAUUUUCUGUAUCAUUCAUCAAUUGUUAUUAAAAACAAAAUGAAGGUUUAAAAUGCAUGUAAAGUCAUGCCAGGUUUUAUAUGUUCUAACUGUAAUCAAAACAGUCUCUUCCUUUCUGUGAAAUUAAUGCAUUAUGUAUAACGGGCCCUGUUUAGUUGUUGUCAUCAUACUCUGUGACUUACACACUCAUUUACAUAAUGAAUAUGAAUCAGCUUUUCUUUAGGAACAUAGUUCAAGUGCAUUGGAAAAAUGAAAUAAAAAAGGAUUACUUUAAUCAAGUUUUUAUUUGGGGCUUUUAGGCACAAUUGUGUAGGAAUUAUUAUUGAUUAUGUAUAUAGCCUCAGACUGAUAAUUUCCUAUCUUUGUGGCUCAGGCAGAUCAUAGUCAUCUUUGUGGCCUGCCACUAACUUAGGUUCUGGAUUAAUAUCUGAACGUGUGCUAUGCUGAGUCUCUCUAAACUGGUAUGAUGAUUACACCAUGUUCUUUGCCUAAAGGGAUACACAGCAGACGCACAUCCGUUCUGUCUCGCAGUUACCUGGUGACUCCUUGCUAUCCAGUGUUUGCCAGAUUAAAGAGAUGACUAAUGUUUAACAAAGUGCUCAAGUUUCCAUGCCUGUGUGAUAGCAAAAAAUUGCAUUAGUGUUUAUAAUCAAGAUUUUUAUUUUUUUUUAAAAAUGGGAUCCAAGUCCACUCUAUAUUUUGAUUGUAGGCAUUAAAACACAUUUUUUUUAUGUCUAAGCAUCAAUGUGAAUCAAUCUCUAAUGUUCUAAUGUGUGCCCAGAGCUGUAUAGAUCAAUGGUAGGGAUUAUAGGUGACUGCUGAUAUUUUGAAAUUGUCUCUGAUGUUAUUGCUUGAUGUUAUGUGGAAACUACUGUAAAUAAAUUUUGUAUCAAUGCUUUUACCAGUCUCAAAUGACUUCUGUAGCACCAAAAAAACCUCCAAAACCAAACAAAAAAACCUGACAAAAAACCCACCCCAUAAUCGGAAGUAGCCUACAGCUUCAUGUUGCAUCUAGAUUCUCCUUGCUGCUGAGCUGCUGCACCUCAGUUCAGACUUACAGCACCCUCUGCUGUUGUGACCUUAGGGUUCUUCCAAGGAGAGACUGGCACUUCUUCCAGAUCGUCUUUUUAAAUGGAGAAACCUCAGCUGGUUGUCCUGAGGCUGUCUGGUGUUUCAUUUGUGGCCUCCCUGCUUUAUGGACGUGAAACUAGAACCUUUAUCUUAAUAGAAAAAAUAUUGCCACCCUUUCCCCUCAAUUUCUUUGUCAAGAGAAUUUUACUAUCAAAAUCAAUAUAGAAAACUGGUUUAAUUACAUUGGCACAACUCCCUUUUGUGAUUAACCUUAGUGUGGUUUAAGAAUGCUGUAUAAUUUAGCAAUCGUUUAGGUAGGUAAGAAGUCAUAAAGCAACUGAAGUGGAAUUACUCUUUAGGGUUGCAGAGCCCCCUCCCCUCCUGCUGCAAGUAAUCUGGUCGUAUAGUCCCCUACAUAAAUUUAUUGAGCACUACUUCAGAAAGUGUUAGAUUUCACACUCAUACUGGAAAGCUGUCCUAGAAUUUCUCUCUUUGGUUAAAAAUCUUCUGGUUUUCAACAUUUGCUUUCAGUGCAAAUAACAUCUUGUAGUUAAACUGAUACAAACCUUAAUGCAGGCAAAAUAGUCUCCCUAGAAGAAGCUUCAUUUAGUUACAAUAUUCUUAAAGUAGGCAAGUGCUAAAAUAGUAUCUGUUAAUGUGACCUGCUUUAUAGUUUUUUUUGUAUCUUUCUGUAGUGGUGCUUAUUUUAAAUCAGAUCCUCUACCUAAUGUUAAUGAUGGUUCCCAGGCAUUGUGCACAGCAUUGGAUCCCCAACAGGAUAUGAACUUAUUUAAUUAUCCCAUGUGAAAAGUAGGUUGAGAAAUGUAUUUGUAGUUUUUUGUAGUCUUUCAUUUUCUUUGCCCUGAUUGUUUUGCCUCAAAAAUGAGUGUAUCCCAAAUAAAGAAGCUGUGGCUUCCAGUGAAGCACAAGCAGGUUUGAUCAGUCUGUAAACAUAAAUGACCUUGAGGAGAUUUUUUUUAAAUUUUUUUUUCUUUUUAAUUUUUCUGGAGAUACUCUUAUUGAAGCUGUUGUUCCUUGUCUAUGUUUUUCAAGGUUUGAGAUUUGGACUUUGUAUUCACUGAUGUCGACUCAAAUAUAUGCCUUUCAAAAAUAUAUUGAGUGGUUUUGAUUUAUUAAAGUUACUGUGUGACACUUGACGAAAAAUUGCAACUCCCAAAACAUUUGGUUCAGAAAGUACUUUGAGCUUGACUUACUGCAAAACGUUCCCAAAGCUUAGAGACUUCAAUGUUCUUUUACUAAAACUGAAAUAGAAAGAACUUUUCAAUAUAGCUUUGCUGAUUUCAUGUUACCUCUAAGUAAGUAAGAACAAAUCCAGAUUAGUAGACUCCUUUUGGAAAAUCUGCUAUUGUUAAUCUUACUGUGAAAAUGGAGAGAUUAAUGAGAUUCUGGAAUAUGCAGUGUAUGAAAAGUGGUGUCUCAGGCACGAAAAAUUUCAGCCCAUUUAAAAGUCAAAGCAUCUUUUAAGUUUAAGGUAGAAAUUUACUGGCAACUUUAAAUGGACCAGAAAAGAACAGCAACUUUCAACAGACUUGCAGUGCUCUACAGAAUUUAAGUUUGUUUGCUUUUUAAUUUAUUAUGAUUUCUAGAUAGUGCACAAUAUAAAAUCUCCAUUCUAGGAUUUUUUACAAUUUGUUGUUCUUUUCUUAUGCUUAUUUUUCUUCUUCUCUUUGUACUGGGCCUUUGCAUUAUGGUGACAGACAAAGUGGCUGCUUAUAAUAAGAGACUGCUCCACUCCUCCCAGUUUUCCUUGGAGAGAGGCAGUCACUGUUUGCUGUGGUUGUUGAUUUAGUGCCUGGGAGGAAUGAGGUUUUUUUGGACCCCUUCCUCAUCUCUCUCUUGCUAAGGGAGCCUGCGUCAUUGAGAAAUGUUUAACCUUCUGGCCCUGAAGCAGGACUGGAAACUUUGCUGCAAAAUCUAGAAGCUAAAACUGGAUCUUGAAAAUGUUAUUUAUGCGAACUACUCUUUCCUUUGAUUUAAUUGGGACAGGAGAUUGCAGAGCUUGAUUUAGAAUUUUGAGUAGCAACUAAUUUGGAGAGUUAGCAGGGGGGAAGAUAAUUUCUUCAGUGAAAAAUGACUUUCCAUUUUUUUCCUUCUGCCUCCUCCCCCAUGCUGGACCAUGAGGGUUCUUCUAACACUUCUGCAGAAUUUCCAGAUGUCUGGUUGCCCUGCUUCAACUACGCUCCAUUAACUGAGAGGGAAGAAGACAUUCAGAAAUCCCAAACAUUUCUGCAGCAUAAUCAUAAUAAAUCUGACAUAUCAUGAAA